GACGAACGCUGGCGGCGUGCUUAACACAUGCAAGUCGAACGGAAAGGCCCUGCUUUUGUGGGGUGCUCGAGUGGCGAACGGGUGAGUAACACGUGAGUAACCUGCCCUUGACUUUGGGAUAACUUCAGGAAACUGGGGCUAAUACCGGAUAGGAGCUCCUGCUGCAUGGUGGGGGUUGGAAAGUUUCGGCGGUUGGGGAUGGGCUCGCGGCUUAUCAGCUUGUUGGUGGGGUAGUGGCUUACCAAGGCUUUGACGGGUAGCCGGCCUGAGAGGGUGACCGGCCACAUUGGGACUGAGAUACGGCCCAGACUCCUACGGGAGGCAGCAGUGGGGAAUAUUGCACAAUGGGCGGAAGCCUGAUGCAGCAACGCCGCGUGCGGGAUGACGGCCUUCGGGUUGUAAACCGCUUUCGCCUGUGACGAAGCGUGAGUGACGGUAAUGGGUAAAGAAGCACCGGCUAACUACGU
rnacentral:rRNA from 1 species